UAGAGCAGGGGUGUCAAACUCCAGUCCUCGAGGGGCCGCGUUCCAACACGUUUUCCAAGAUUCCCUCGUUAAAUGCACCUGUGUCAAAAGUUAGGCUCCUGCAGGACAUGAAAAUGAACUGAUCUUUUCACUCAGGUGUGUUUAACGAGGGUAACUUGGAAAACAUAUUGGAACGCGGCCCCCGAGGA